AUUGAACGCUAGCGGGAUGCCUUACACAUGCAAGUCGAACGGAGUGGCGAACGGGUGAGUAAUGUAUCGGAACGUGCCCAGUAGCGGGGGAUAACUACGCGAAAGCGUAGCUAAUAACGCAUACUAUUGGAGCGGCAGAUAUUGGAGUAGCUAGUUGGUGGGGUAGCGGCUUACCAAGGCGACGAUCCGUAGCUGGUUUGAGAGGACGACCAGCCACACUGGGACUGGGACACGGCCCAGACUCCUACGGGAGGCAGCAGUGGGGAAUUUUUGACAAUGGGGGAAACCCUGAUCCAGCCAUCCCGCGUGAGCGAUGAAGGCCUUCGGGUUGUAAAACACUUUUGGCAGGAAAGCGGUACCUACAGAAAAAGCACCGGCUAACUACGUGCCAGCCGCCGCGGUAAUUC
rnacentral:rRNA from 1 species